rnacentral:rRNA from 1 species
UACGGAGGGGGCUAGCGUUGUUCGGAAUUACUGGGCGUAAAGCGCACGUAGGCGGAUUGUUAAGUCGGGGGUGAAAUCCUGGGGCUCAACCUCAGAAUUGCCUCCGAUACUGGCAGUCUCGAGUGCGGGAGAGGUGAGUGGAAUUCCCAGUGUAGAGGUGAAAUUCGUAGAUAUUGGGAAGAACACCAGUGGCGAAGGCGGCUCACUGGCCCGUAACUGACGCUGAGGUGCGAAAGCGUGGGGAGCAAACAGG